AGAGGAAUAGCUGGGUCAAAUGGUGGUUCCAUUCCCAGAUUUCCAAGGAAUCUCCAUACUGCUUUCCAAAUUGGCUGUACCAAUUUGCCGUCCCACCAGCAAU
rnacentral:pre_miRNA from 1 species